rnacentral:rRNA from 1 species
CCUGCCCAAGAGAUCGGGAUAACACCUGGAAACAGAUGCUAAUACCGGAUAACAACAGAUGAUGCCUAUCAACUGUUUAAAAGAUGGUUCUGCUAUCACUCUUGGAUGGACCUGCGGUGCAUUAGCUAGUUGGUAGGGUAACGGCCUACCAAGGCGAUGAUGCAUAGCCGAGUUGAGAGACUGAUCGGCCACAUUGGGACUGAGACACGGCCCAAACUCCUACGGGAGGCAGCAGAC